GCUGGUGGUCCACUGUGGUAACCAUGGUGACAAGCCCACCUCCCACUGGACUCCUGGCUGGACCUGCUCAAUCACCGUCCGGGCCUCCCUGCUCCUUACACAGUAACAGCUCAGCAGAACCAGCCCAUGUCCUAGUCUCUACCGUCGUCCUAUGCACAUCUAGCCUUCCAGAAAAAAAAAAAAAAGGCCAGAGAUGGAAACUGAGAGAAAACAACCCACUGCAAAGAAGCAAUGCCACAAACAGAUGUUAAUUUCAUCUCAGGGUCUCACUCUGUCUCCCGGACUGGAGUGCAUGGUGUGACCUCAGCUCACCGCAACCUCUGCCUCCAGGCACAAGUGAUUCUCCUGCCUCCACCACCCAAGUCGCUGGGACUGCAGGCGCCCACAACUACCACCCAGUUAUUUAUGUACU